AGCGAACGCUGGCGGCAGGCUUAACACAUGCAAGUCGAACGGGCAUCUUCGGAUGUCAGCGGCAGACGGGUGAGUAACACGUGGGAACGUACCCUUCGGUUCGGAACAACUCUGGGAAACUGGAGCUAAUACCGGAUACGCCCUUAUGGGGAAAGGUUUACUGCCGAAGGAUCGGCCCGCGUCUGAUUAGCUAGUUGGUGGGGUAACGGCCUACCAAGGCGACGAUCAGUAGCUGGUCUGAGAGGAUGAUCAGCCACACUGGGACUGAGACACGGCCCAGACUCCUACGGGAGGCAGCAGUGGGGAAUAUUGGACAAUGGGCGCAAGCCUGAUCCAGCCACGCCGCGUGAGUGAUGAAGGCCUUAGGGUUGUAAAGCUCUUUUGUCCGGGACGAUAAUGACGGUACCGGAAGAAUAAGCCCCGGCUAACUUCGUG
rnacentral:rRNA from 1 species